UAACACAUGCAAGUCGAACGAGAGAGAAGGAGCUUGCUUCUUCGAUCGAGUGGCGAACGGGUGAGUAACGCGUGAGGAACCUGCCUCAAAGAGGGGGACAACAGUUGGAAACGACUGCUAAUACCGCAUAAGCCCACGGGUCGGCAUCGACCUGAGGGAAAAGGAGCAAUCCGCUUUGAGAUGGCCUCGCGUCCGAUUAGCUAGUUGGUGAGGUAAUGGCCCACCAAGGCGACGAUCGGUAGCCGGACUGAGAGGUUGAACGGCCACAUUGGGACUGAGACACGGCCCAGACUCCUACGGGAGGCAGCGGUGGGGAAUAUUGCACAAUGGGGGAAACCCUGAUGCAGCGACGCCGCGUGGAGGAAGAAGGUCUUCGGAUUGUAAACUCCUGUUGUUGAGGAAGAUAAUGACGGUACUCAACAAGGAAGUGACGGCUAACUACGUGCCAGCAGCCGCGGUAAAACGUAGGUCACAAGCGUUGUCCGGAAUUACUGGGUGUAAAGGGAGCGCAGGCGGGAAGACAAGUUGGAAGUGAAAUCUAUGGGCUCAACCCAUAAACUGCUUUCAAAACUGUUUUUCUUGAGUAGUGCAGAGGUAGGCGGAAUUCCCGGUGUAGCGGUGGAAUGCGUAGAUAUCGGGAGGAACACCAGUGGCGAAGGCGGCCUACUGGGCACCAACUGACGCUGAGGCUCGAAAGUGUGGGUAGCAAACAGGAUUAGAUACCCUGGUAGUCCACACCGUAAACGAUGAUUACUAGGUGUUGGAGGAUUGACCCCUUCAG
rnacentral:rRNA from 1 species